AAGCAGUGAAAGGAUAUUGGUCAAUAGCCUAACCGGCUGAACCAGCAACUUGGAGGAAUGUAUAGGGAAAACUGGUAAAAUGUGAUGUACCUAAUAAUAUUAGUGAUUAAUAUGAAAUUAACUAAGUUAAUUAAAAUUCAAAGUAGAUAUAUGAUUAUGACAAUAUUUGCUUAUUUCUUGACCAAGUCACGUGCCAGCAGUCGCGGUAAUACGUGGUAGAUCAGUGUUAUUCAUCUUUAGUAGGUUUAAAGGGUACCUAGACGGUUAAUUAAGCAUAUUUGUGUACUAAUUAUUAACUAGAGUUUAAUGUAAGAAGGAUUGAGUACGGUGAGUGUAGAGAUAAAAUUCUGUCAUACCACUUAGGAACUGGUAAAGGCGAAGGCAACCUUUUAUGUAAAAACUGACGUUAAGGGACGAAGGCUCGUAUUAAGUAAUAGGAUUAGAGACCCUAGUAUUGUGGGCAGACAAUGAUGAGUGUCAUAUGCAAGAAACUUUUUGUGUAUAAAUGAAAGUGUAAGCACUCCACCUCAAGAGUAACGUGGCAACAUGGGAACUGAAAUCAUUAGACCGUUUCUGAAACUCGUAGUGAAGUAUGUUGUUUAAUUUGAUAAUCCUCAAAUAACCUUACCACAAUUUGAAUUACUGGUGAAUAGUAACUAGUAACAAGCGUUGCACGGCUGUCUUCAGUUAAUGUUGUGAAACUUUGGUUAGAUCCAUUAAAUUGACGUAAACCCUUGCUUUAUUUGUUUUAAAGCAGUUCGCCGCUAUAUUGGUAGUGAUAUAAGGGACUAAGACAAGUCAUCAUGACCCGAAGAUUGUGGGCUAUAGCGUUGCCACAU
rnacentral:rRNA from 1 species